rnacentral:rRNA from 1 species
UACGGAGGAUGCGAGCGUUAUCCGGAUUUAUUGGGUUUAAAGGGUGCGUAGGCGGUCCGUUAAGUCAGCGGUAAAAUUGCGGGGCUCAACCCCGUCGAGCCGUUGAAACUGGGUGCCUUGAGUGGGCGAGAAGUACGCGGAAUGCGUGGUGUAGCGGUGAAAUGCAUAGAUAUCACGCAGAACUCCGAUUGCGAAGGCAGCGUACCGGCGCCCAACUGACGCUGAAGCACGAAGGCGUGGGUAUCGAACAGG